CGGAAGUGCGCGACCGAGCGCUCUCAGCGAGCGGGAAGCUUAUGGUUCUGUCCGUGUGCUUUUGCGUGUCCCUAGACUGCGCGCUCGCCGUUCCCGGGGUGGAAAUGGGGAUUUCCGGGACCUGACUGCAUGGAGGCCGAGGGAGCUGGGGCCCCAGAGGUUUUCUGCAGAAUGAGUGUCAGCCCUGUGACGGCGGUUACGUGAAGGCUGGCAACGCCUGUCCCCCACCCCCAGUCGGUGGCCUCGGUUUGAGGAACCCAGGUGGGUUCACUUGAAGCUAUGUGUAGUCCAGAUGGGAUCUCAUUUCGUCUGCCUGGUUCUCUACCUGAAAUGUUUUGGAUUAGGACCUUACAGGUUUGUUUGGCCUGGUUCUUAGCCACAUAAUUUUGGAAUGCUAACCUGCUUAAGACUUUUUUGUGUGUAUGACUAUAAAUAAAAAGAAUCAGACCCUC